rnacentral:rRNA from 1 species
UACAGGGGGGGCAAGCGUUGUUCGGAAUUACUGGGCGUAAAGGGUUCGUAGGUGGCCAACUAAGUCAGACGUGAAAUCCCUCAGCUUAACUGGGGAACUGCGUCUGAAACUGGUUGGCUUGAGUGCAGGAGAGGAAUGCGGAAUUCCAGGUGUAGCGGUGAAAUGCGUAGAUAUCUGGAGGAACACCUGAGGUGAAGACGGGUUGCUGGGCUGACACUGACGCUGAGGCGCGAAAGCUAGGGUAGCAAACGGG